CAAAACUAUCUAAUUUUGAUACCAUUGGAAAGCCCACAAUGUCCUCUUCAAUUACCACCCAAAAUUUCCCGAUAACUCCAAAGGAUUCGGUCGGAAUAAACCCACAAAGUCAGCAUCAUGAACUUUGUCCAGAUUUUCGCCUUUUCAAGAUGUUGAUUUUGUGGGUUUAUUCCGAUCGAAUCCUUUAGAGUUAUGAGAAAAUUUUGGAUGGUAAUUGAAGAGGACAUUGUGGGCUUUCCAAUGGUAUCAAAAUUCGAUAGUUUUGAUGGUCGAAAGUUGUCGAAAAAUUGCCUUAAAAGUCGCCCAAAAAAUCUGAAAAUCUGGGCAGAUUUUCAAAAUUUUUGGGCAACUUUUAAGGCAAUUUUUCGAUCGAAUCCCUUGGAGUUAUAAUGAGAUUUUGGGUGGUAAUUGAAGAGGAU
rnacentral:lncRNA from 1 species